rnacentral:lncRNA from 1 species
UGCCCUCGUGUAAUGUUAGUAACAGGCAUGCCAAAAAUUUUGAGUGUCUACAAAUGCCUCUCUUUAUCAUAUUCAUGCAAUGCAAGGAAUGGAUAGGAUAAAGAAUCCUAGACACUUGAAAUGCAAGCAAGAUAAACAUAAUGCUAUAUGCAGCAACAUGAUGCAAAUGUAUAAUGCAUGAUUGUCAGGUAAUCAGUGAUGGCUUGGACAUGCAAUCCAAGUCUCCAAGGAUGUUGACGUUGGGGCUAUCACCAAAGUCUUGAAUCCUAGACACUGGACUAUAUUCCAUAGAGGUACCGCUUGUGUGUAAGAGAUCUGUGGGGAUAAAGCUUUGUCUGUUUGAGGAUGUGUAUAACAUAUUUCCUCAUUCUAUCGAAGUUACUGCCAAUAGUUUGUCGUCGUCAGGGUUGUCCGACCUUCGUUGAUGUGUGUAUCACCGGAUAAAUCCCUGCUGGGUGUAUUGUCAAGAUUGCUUGACCUUCAUUGAUGUAUGUGUUAAUGGUAGCAUUGUGUUGUAGCCCUUGCUGAGGAAGGUUGCUUCGAUGGGUUUACUUGCCAUAGGCUGACAUGAUGUCAAGGCUGCUUAACCUUCAUUGAUGUGUGUAUCAAUGUUGCAUUGCAUUGUAACCCCCAUCGGGGAUACGUAGAUGCUUGAAAGAUGUGCGAUGUGACCCCCGCCGGGGAUACGUAGAUGUUUGAUAACUUCGGCAUUGUAACCCCUGCUGGGGAGGUUUGAUAUUUUGUGGUUUUGCGUUGUAACCCCCACCGGGGAAGUUUAGGGCUGUGAACCUGCAAAUGACGGCAUCAGACCUUUGUGGGGUAUUAUUGAACAUGAUCUGUGAAAACUGAGCUCAUUGGUAUAGUAUACCCUGCAUUCAGGAGAAUACCGUUGAGACGACGGGAGUUUAACUCUGACCGACGAGAAACCAGGAUUUCAGGCUAUUCCGCUCAAUCAUGUAGCACUUUUAUUCCUG